rnacentral:rRNA from 1 species
CCUACGGGAGACAGCAGUGAGGAAUAUUGGUCAAUGGACGCAAGUCUGAACCAGCCAUGCAGCGUGCAGGAAGACGGCUCUAUGAGUUGUAAACUGCUUUUGUACGAGGGUAAAUCCCAGUACGUGUAUCGGGUUGCAAGUAUCGUACGAAUAAGGAUCGGCUAACUCCGUGCCAGCAGCCGCGGUAAUACGGAGGAUUCAAGCGUUAUCCGGAUUUAUUGGGUUUAAAGGGUGCGUAGGCGGUUUGUUAAGUCAGAGGUGAAAGCUCGGGGCUCAACUGUGGCACUGCAUCUGAUACUGGCGUGCUAGAGUACAGUUGCGGUAGGCGGAAUGUAUGGUGUAGCGGUGAAAUGCAUAGAGAUCAUACAGAACACCGAUUGCGAAGGCAGCUUACCAAACUACGACUGACGUUGAUGCACGAAAGCGUGGGGAGCAAACAGGAUUAGAUACCCGAGUAGUC